GAGCCAUUAGCUCAGUCGGUAGAGCAUUUGACUUUUAAUCAAAGGGUCGUAGGUUCGAUUCCUACAUGGCUCA
rnacentral:tRNA from 1 species